UACAGAGACUGCAAGCGUUAUUCGGAUUCACUGGGCGUAAAGGGUGCGCAGGCGGCCGUGUGUGUCAGGUGUGAAAGCCCGGGGCUUAACCCCGGAAUUGCGCCUGAAACUACAUGGCUAGAGCAUUGGAGAGGGUAGCGGAAUUCACGGUGUAGCAGUGAAAUGCGCAGAUAUCGUGAGGAACACCAGAGGCGAAGGCGGCUACCUGGACAAUUGCUGACGCUCAGGCACGAAAGCGUGUGGAGCAAACAGG
rnacentral:rRNA from 1 species